rnacentral:rRNA from 1 species
UCUCUCUCUCUCUCUCUCUCUCUCUCUCUUGCCCUCUCCUUCCUUCGGCGUAGUGCCCCCGCCAGUGUAGGUUCCAAGGACGCCACCUUCAGUGGCCUCUGCUCUACGAGCAGCUGCGGGCGCCGCUCUACGAACCGCCGCGGGGAGGUCUCAGGAGCGAGGGGUGACUACUCACAGACUACCUACGGGCGUUCAUCUGACUUCUUCUCUAGCCUUCAUUUUGGCUCCGGAGGAACUUUCUUCCCAAUCCAGUUGUCGAAUUUUGACUAGUAUACUUCUUCUCAUCUCUAAAUUGUUCUCUAACGAACUUGUCACACGGUGUGUGUCCAUGUCUAUAACUUCUACUUCUUCCCUUCGGACCCUUACUAUCCUUACUUCUUCCCUCUGUAGUCACACACCUUCUAUGACUAAAUCUACUCUCUCCGAUACUACAGCUCUAGUGGCUGUGACUUCGUAGUCUCUAAACGACAUACUUAUUCAAGACUGCCACGACUGAUUUUCACGAGCUUCCUUUCUUGUAGCCUUUCGAUAAAACCUUACUUUUUUCUUCUCUCGUUCCUAACUGGGUUUGUGUUAGUUUCGGUGUUAACUACUCUAACGCUGGUUUCGAAUGUCGGCCACAUCGCACGGUAUGAAGAGGCUCUAACAGUCAAAGUACACAUUCUCGGUGGUGUCCCAGGUCGAACAAUCCUUGUCGCCAAAGCCUAUAGACAACCUCGACCAACUGACAGGACAUGGGUCCCCCAAACACGUCACCUAGCGACUGUCACAACUGUGUUUUCGUCUUCGUUAACAAAAGUUGUUCUUCUCGUAAGGUGACUUACGAGUCAGUCACCUCAAACACAACCCCUAAGGAAGUCCCCUUUGUUAGUAUUUGUGAUUUCUUCUUCUCCGACCGUUUGUUCGAAAAGAACGUGAAAAACCCAACUGUCUUCAGGGUUGUUAGUUUAAGAAACCGUUAUUCGACUACUUGCUUCUUUACAGACUGCUGGUCUAGUAGGCAACAAAGGACCAACACCGUAAUAGUUGUAAGGAGACGGGCUGUCGUUUGUGAUUUGGUUCGUGGUUUAUAUACCCUCGAGAUCAAUUACACCUCGUUGAGUUCGUUUAUUUAACCACGUCCAAACAAGUGCUAACCUUCAACUACAUAUAUUGCUUUAUGGUUUUCCUUUUCGACUUCGUCUUGGCUUGUUACUACUGAGAUCCUCCUACAUAUAUGGUGGAUCGUCAGGCAACGGAACUAAAAUGACUAAAACCGAGUUAAGUUUAGGGUAGAAACUACGGGUCCUAUACACAAACCUUCCCUCUAUACCAGUUCGUAAAUUCACUGUACUGGUAACCUUCUCUACCUUUCAUACCUACAGACUGUUAUUUUCUUCAUAGUCUUUGGACGAUAUUCCUACCUUGAAAACUCACCCGUUCAUACUAAUUCUUAAGUUUAAAGUCCUUUCGCUAUUUGUUACAACGUCCCUUAAGAAACAGACUGUUCCAGUUUCUCCUAUAGAAGGAGCGAAUGUUUUUGGUAUACUUCUUACUUCUGGAUUUAUGAACGUAGUUUCGAUUUCCCGAAGACGAUCUGUGCUAGGCGUAGUAUUGGUUACGGAGACCACUUAGUCCACUAUGUCAAGUUCACCCGAGUUGUCCUUGACUUAACUUACGUUCGGUUGUUAGGUUGUUGAGUCCUCUGUGACAGUUUGAUGUUAGCUGACUUGAAGUUCUCCUUUUACUACCUCCCGUAGACCACGUUUCCUUUUCUUCCUUUACUUACAAGAUAGUUGAUCGGUUGUCAGACGACCAAGAAGACAUAGUUUUUGUUUACGACCUUUUCCCUCGUUUUUACUUCGACUACCCAAAACAUCGUCGGGAGGAUUUCAGGUACUUUAUCCGUUCGACUUCAGACUGAGACUUCGUGUUACAGUUUCUCUCGUAAGGAGUUUCCUGGGGUACGGCCUUUACACACGAGGUCCUUUGGUACAUCUACCUCCUCUUCCUAUUUACGGGUUAGUUCGUCGCUUGGUGUACUAGGGACAAGUUAGUUCGUGUUCUUCGGAAAUCUUCGAGAAAACUUCCCACUGUUUUUUUAGGGGAGUUUUGUUCCACUUCUUUUCCUACUUCGAGUGUGAGAUCUAUUAGUUGUUCUCUUUUCGUUGUCGGAGUUGAUGUACGAAUAACCUCUUCGUUUUCUCUUGGUGCAAGUUUUACAUCGUCUCUCACGGUUCCUCCUGUAGGGUUGUCUCGAGUAAGUCAGGUUUUAUUAAAAGUGCCUUAGUUUCGUUUGUUGUAAAAGACCAAAAGUUUUGUGUAGUUAAGUCCUUAACCUGGACGUCUCCUUUUUUAAAUCCCCCGCGGGCCUAUUGGACUCGUAUCUGUAAUUACAUUUUAGCGUUGGUCUCUCACCCUGUGUAUAUCUACUCCAAAAACGUUCUCCGAUAUUUUAGUAAUCGCUGAAAGAUCUGUUCCGUUCUCUUUUUAUGAACAAGCGGCUACUAUCGUGGGGGAGUAAGUCCUAGAGACUUCUACACCUACUUACACCUUUAUAUUAGUUUCUUGUACUUAACACCUCCGGACAUACCUACUUCCUACUCACAAGGUUAUUUUUCUAUCUCCGUUGCUUCAACUUCUAGCGGUCUUUGAAGUUCCUUCAUCUCGGUCUUCUUGAACUGUAAACACACGUUCCCUUAUGUUUGAUCUUCUUUGUCCCCUCGCCAUCAAGUUUGAUGCUCGAUUCGUAAGUCACGCGGGUUUCCCUUCAUGUCUCUUCAAACUACACACUCUGCGGUGUGGGGGGUUUUGGUCAACUCCUCUAACAACUAAACUGUUGUGGACUUCAAGUUUACAGUUGACCCACCUUAGUAUCCGUUUGAACGAUGAGUGGUACGUUUUUAUUAUUGCUCAUGUGUCGGCUCUGAGGGGGUGAGUUUUACUUCUUCCUGAUGAGGUACCAAGGUUAUUAUCCUUUUUCCAAUAAAGGUCACCUCCUUUCAACAGUUGUUCUUAGGUCGCCGUCGUUUUCCUUAGGUUAUGUUGAUUACCUUCUUUUUUGAAAUCCUAUUGAGUUUUAAGUACCUCCUUUGUACAAAUCCGUUCUCGCGUCGUGUAACCAGUUGUCUUGACUACUAAAAAUGUUAUGUUUAGAGAGCAAUCCUUCCGGUUCGUCAAAGGCACCUUUUCUUUUACAUGGUGGUUUCUCCUAACAGGUUGGUUCGUCCAUGGCAUCGAGUGGUAUGCUGACGUCGCUCUCCCCUGGUUAUUACGGUGUACUCUCUUUCUACAUACUCUUGUAUUGUAGGAACCGGUUACAACUUCCUAGGUUUGGACGUCAAAACUAACUGUUUUGGUAGCAGUGUAAACCUGUCAACCCAUUGAGCUAUUUUUAUCCACCGGCCCAGGUCCGGAUACAGUAUUUACACAUGACGUGCGUGGAUAAAUUACUUUUAGUAGGAUCCUUGAGUGAGUUCGUGAUAAAGAAGGUGUGACGUAGACUUAUAAAGGACCCGUUUACCUUUUUACUACUCCGUUCUUAAACCACCUCCUUCUUUAACCAAUGUUCAAAGUAACCUCGACCUUCUCGUGUAUUAGAAAGCUACAGUCUGUUCAACAUGAAAGGUUGUGAUGUACUCCUUGUAAUGAAAAACAAGCAGCAGCUGUAGUUCCCAGCGUGCAAAAUAAAAGACCUAAGAAAGAUUCUACUCUUCUCGAGUAUAGUAUAUUUGUAUUUUUCUUCUAAUAGAGUUCGAAAUAUACGUGAACCAUACUUCGAGCCGAGAUCGGUUACCUAAAGUUACGUAAGGGACGACAAAUGGGAUUUCAAGGAGUUGUUCUAUUGCUAUAACUAACACCGUAAAAGUGAUACUUUGAUUACCCUACCACGGUUCCUUAGGUUGGGGAUAUCAAAAAAGUGGUUUUCUACAGGGUCUACGUUCCUAGGCUAUACGACAACUAGAGUACAAGUCGGUGAUGUUGUGAAACCUACUGCUCUUCUUCGCACAGUUCCUCAAGGCGGAUAUCUGUACUUUUUCACGACUGUCGAGGAUUUUCUGUGGUGAGUGUUACUGUUCUCCUCGAUAUAGUUCUCAGUAUAAUCGUUUUAGUUUCCUUUCUACUCAACAUAGUUUGUGUAUCAAUCGUUAACAAUUUGUAAAAGCUCUACAAAAAGAUAAAAAACAUACUUAUCUCUUACAUGUGGAAAGAACAACGACAUGUGUAUAUAUACGGGGGAGACAAUAAAAAAUAAACCAACCCUUUGUACACGAGGGCUUCCACGAAGAUGGGAUCAAACCAGAAAAAGUGAGCCAUUACACCACUUUGUGUCCUUGAUAUUGUCACAAAAACGAGUACACAAAUACAAACGUGGAAAAGGUUUUAAAACGAAUUUACUUAAAAGUACAAAGGGCACACCCGUAGUUAUGAAAAAACCACAAAAGGUAGACUACCUCUCCCGGUUCCUCUACUACUGUGUUUCCGUGGUUUUUGAAUACUUGAAUUCCUCCUCUACGGGUAAAACCUAAAAAGAGUAUUACGUUCCUUUGUGAGUAUUUCUAGUUCUGGUUGCCGUUGUUCUCUUUGAAACUUGUUGUACACUCUGUUUCUACCUCAAAAGGAGGGUUCUUCAAUAGAGUCUCUGUUUAGACGCACGGGUAGUCCUUUAAAGGUAUGACGAGGUUUUAACGACGUCUUUUUGUUUCCCUCUUCUUCUUUAGUCUUCCAAAAGUCUAGGUUUUUCUUCUUCCCUUGUUCUAGUCCUCUUAACUUUUUCUUUCCUCGAUGUCUACCUAGGUACCUGCGUGUUUGAGUGGGACACUGUCUCCACUACACCGUAGUAAUUGCUCCCUAAUGACAUCGGAUUAAUAGGCCCGCAGUGUCGCUGCUCGCGUGGAGGAGGAAUCGAGGAGGGGCGAUGCAGUUCGGUUUCUGCCUCGGCCCCGAGCGGCCGCCGCACUUCCUCCUCGAGCUACUGCGCCGCCGGAACUUCACCCACGUGCUUCUGACCCGCGUCUCCCUCAACUUCGUGGUCACAGCACGGAUGCUCAUCAAGUGGCGAGCCGCGACACGGGCGCUGUUCCCUCCGCAACAGCAGGAGCUGCUGCUGCGCGGCGGCGGUGGCCAGGCGGUCCCGCUGCGGCCUGUCCCCAGGUCGUCCCCGCAGGCGCAGUUCCUCCUCUUCCUGCUGCUCCUACCGCCGCUGCUGCCGCUGAAGCGGCGCGAGUCGCGCAAGAAGCCGGGCAUCAAUAUCAACGCCGGGAAAAAAAUUUCAUGAAGCGAAACGAUACACUUUUUGAUACAUCCAGCAGAUUCAUUACAGUACAAGCGGCUUAAAAUCGGCUUAGAAACAGGGCAAACAACUUGAAAUCGGCUUAAGGAAUUUUUUUCGGAAGACCCUCGUUGGGACCCCGACCGCCGACCCUUAGACUUACAGGGAUGCGGCUAAAAUCGCGGCCAAACGGGGGUCCGCCGCUUAAAUGCACGGGGACCCCCCCCCGUUGCCAACCUCUACGAGAAUCUGAAAGAAGUCUCCCUCCAUCACUCCAUGAGGUAGGAGAAGAUAUAAAAUGUCGCUUGUAUUUAUAUUAAAACGUCAUGUAGUUAUACUAAAACGUCAUGUAGGGUAGACUUAAACUGAGUAUGUGGAUUAAAACGUCAUGUAGUUAUACUAAAACGUGUCAUGUAGUUAUACUAAAACGU